CGUAGUAUUAUCACGAUAUAGGUAAACCACUAGCAAAUGGUUUAUUUUAUCUCGGACGAGGUAUGAAAGCGAGCUGAAAAUUUGAUAAAUACGAAAGAACCACCCUGCUCGAUAUUUGAAAUUGUUUUAAGCAUUUGGGCGCAUGCUUCGCAUAAAAAUCGAUAUUCACCUUAGAAGGACCGCAGUACUUUCAUUUUGAAUUUAGCAACCGUAGUGCUAACAUUGUUCCGCUAGAUUUCUUAGUUUGACAUCAUAUAUAAUCAAAGUUCCUUUGCCUGCUGGCUACCGCUGCAAAAACGAAUCCAUAUGGACGAGACUGGUUGGACAAUCUUGCGCAUUCUAUCGCAGCGGAACAACGACGAAAUUGCGAAGGAAUUCGUGAAACUCAAGUCAGAAGCACGGCAGGAGAUAGCGGCUCAGGGCUAGAAAAGUUAAACACAUGUGUUACGUGGACCGAAUCGUUGAAAAUGACUUGUAUUAUUACUAAAUCAUUAUUAUACUACUAUUAAUAUAAUAUCAUCAUUGUUAUAGGUUA